rnacentral:sRNA from 1 species
UAAUUUGAUAUAAUAGUGUAAUCAAUCACCCCUAUUUGGAGAAGCUUGCUGGACAGAGAUAAUGCAUAUUAAUGGUAGACUUUGCUUUUGUAUCUGAUCUCCCUCACUUUUUGUGUUUCUAAGUUCUCAAAGAAGUCAGAUGGACACAUUAAAGACCAAAGGCUGGGGGGAAGAGCAAAAUCACGGAGUCAAAACAACUCAGUUUGUUCCAAAACAAUAUAGACUUGUUGAAACAAGGGGACCUCUAUGUUCAUUGAGAAGUGAAAAGAGGUGUUCAAAGGGGAAAAUUACUGAUACAGAGAAGAUGGUCGGAAUCAGAUUUGAAAAUGAAAGUAGGAGGGGAUACCAACUGGAGCCUGACCUAUCAGAAGAAGUGUCGGCCCGACUCCGCCUGGGCAGUGGAAGUAAUGGCUUACUCAGGAGGAAAGUGUCAAUAAUUGAGACAAAGGAAAAGACUUGCUCUGGCAAAGAGAGGGACAGAAGAACGGACGAUCUCCUUGAACUUACAGAGGACAUGGAAAAGGAAAUCAGUAAUGCCCUA